rnacentral:ncRNA from 1 species
UACCUGGUUGAUCCUGCCAGUAGUCAUAUGCUUGUCUCAAAGAUUAAGCCAUGCAUGUGUAAGUAUGAACUAAUUCAGACUGUGAAACUGCGAAUGACUCAUUAAAUCAGUUAUAGUUUGUUUGAUAGUACUUGCUACUCGGAUAACCGUAGUAAUUCUAGAGCUAACACGUGUAACAAACCCCAACUUUUGGAAGGGAUGCAUUUAUUAGAUAAAAGGUUGACGCGGGCUCUGCUUGUUGGUCUGAUGAUUCAUGAUAACUUGACGGAUCGCACGACCAUUGUGCUGGCGACGCAUCAUUCAAAUUUCUGCCCUAUCAACUUUCGAUGGUAGGAUAGUGGCCUACUAUGGUGGUGACGGGUGACGGAGAAUUAGGGUUCGAUUUCGGAGAGGGAGCCUGAGAAAUGGCUGCCACAUCCAAGGAAGGCAGCAGGCGUGCAAAUUACCCAAUCCUGACACGGGGAGGUAGUGACAAUAAAUAACAAUACUGGGCUCUACGAGUCUGGUAAUUAGAAUGAAUACAAUCUAAAUUACUUAACGAGGAUCCAUUGGAGGGCAAGUCUGAUGCCAGCAGCCGCGGUAAUUCCAGCUCCAAUAGCGUAUAUUUAAGUUGUUGCAGUUAAAAAGCUCGUAGUUGGACCUUGAGUUGGGUUGAUCAAUCUGCCUCCGGUGUGCACUGGUCGGCUCGUCCCUUCUGCCGGCGAUGUGCUCCUAGCCUUAAUUGGCCGGGUCGUGCCUCUGGCACUGUUACUUUGAGGAAAUUAGAGUGCUCAAAGCAAGCCUACGCUCUGUAUACAUUAGCAUGGGAUAACAUCAUAGGAUUUCAGUUCUAUUCUGUUGGCCUUCGGGAUCGGAGUAAUGAUUAACAGGGACAUGCUCGGGGGCAUUCAUAUUUCAUAGUCAGAGGUGAAAUUUUUGGAUUUAUGAAAGACG